UNGGCGUGGAUAGUGUACUCCCAACAUACA
rnacentral:piRNA from 1 species